rnacentral:rRNA from 4 species
CCUGGCAGCACUAGCGCGGUGGUCCCACCUGACCCCAUGCCGAACUCAGAAGUGAAACGCCGUAGCGCCGAUGGUAGUGUGGGGUCUCCCCAUGUGAGAGUAGGGAACUGCCAGGC